rnacentral:rRNA from 1 species
AUGCAAGUCGACUGGAAUUCUUCUUCGGAAGAUAGUACGGUGGCGGACGGGUGAGUAACGCGUAAAGAAUUUGCCCUUCAGACUGGGACAACUAAUCGAAAGGUUAGCUAAUACCGGAUAUUAUGAGACCUUGGCAUCAAGGACUUAUGAAAGCUAUAUGCGCUGGAGGAGAACUUUGCGUUCCAUUAGCUAGUUGGUAGGGUAAUGGCCUACCAAGGCGACGAUGGAUAGCCGGCCUGAGAGGGUGAACGGCCACAAGGGGACUGAGACACGGCCCUUACUCCUACGGGAGGCAGCAGUGGGGAAUAUUGGACAAUGGACCAAAAGUCUGAUCCAGCAAUUCUGUGUGCACGAUGAAGGUCUUCGGAUUGUAAAGUGCUUUCAGGUGGGAAGAAGAAAGUGACGGUACCACCAGAAGAAGCGACGGCUAAAUACGUGCCAGCAGCCGCGGUAAUACGUAUGUCGCAAGCGUUAUCCGGAAUUAUUGGGCGUAAAGCGAGUCUAGGCGGCUUGUUAAGUCAGAUGUGAAAAUGCGGGGCUCAACUCCG